rnacentral:rRNA from 1 species
AUUGAACGCUGGCGGCAUGCUUUACACAUGCAAGUCGAACGGUAACAGGCCUUCGGGUGCUGACGAGUGGCGAACGGGUGAGUAAUGCAUCGGAACGUACCCAGAGGUGGGGGAUAACGCAGCGAAAGCUGUGCUAAUACCGCAUGUGAUCUGAGGAUGAAAGCGGGGGACCGAGCAGCAAUGUUUGGCCUCGCGCCUUUGGAGCGGCCGAUGUCGGAUUAGCUAGUUGGCGGGGUAAAGGCCUACCAAGGCGACGAUCCGUAGCUGGUCUGAGAGGACGACCAGCCACACUGGGACUGAGACACGGCCCAGACUCCUACGGGAGGCAGCAGUGGGGAAUUUUGGACAAUGGGCGCAAGCCUGAUCCAGCAAUGCCGCGUGCGGGAAGAAGGCCUUCGGGUUGUAAACCGCUUUUGGCAGGAACGAAACGGUGUCCGCUAAUACCGGGCGCUAAUGACGGUACCUGCAGAAUAAGCACCGGCUAACUACGUG